GUUAUUGACUUCGGAAGAAAUUACAUUACGAUAAUAUUAUUGAAAAGUCCGAGUGUUUCGAUUGUUGUUUGGAUUAGUCGAAUGACAUCGUUUAAAGCUAUUUUUAUUUGUUUGUGACGUUAUACAAAUCAUGGAAAACACCAGACAGCAUGGCUUGGCCGCGAAGGAAAAUAACAGCACAGCCAACCUUGGGCUUGACAAACCAAUGAUGAUUUCUGGACACAGAUUUUAUAUGAUAAAUGUCAAGAAUUAAAAAAAUAUACACAAAGCCAAAAAAGAUACACAGACGUAUAUUAAGUCUAUAAAACAAAAAUCAAGAACAAAAUUUUUGUCAGACAUGUCAGAGCAUUAAGAUUUGUAUUUACAAAUUAAAAAUCAUGUAAA